GACUCCUUGCGGUCCGCCAUCUUGGGGAGGUCGCCUCUGGAACUGGAGGAGGAGCCCGCGGAGUGCCUCGGAGACGAUACCGGUCCCUUUACUCUCGGUCGGGGAAGCCGGUCCUGCCACACCUCAGGGCUGGAAACGGCUUUCUAGUUAUCGUUUUUCUGGAGGCUAUAAGAUCCCCAAGCGUGGGAAUCGGAGGGGAGAUAAUAAAACUAGGUGGAGCUUGAGCAGAAGUGAGAAGACGGUGAAGGUCUUUUUAAAAAUUGCAGAGGUUUCAGCUCAUGACUGGAUGGUGGUGAGGGAGAGGAUUAUGGCAGCAGAGCUGUGACAGAAGGCUGAGAAGCAAAUGAAGAUACAAAGAGGCUAGGGACAAGAUUUUCUCCAUGUUCCAUAUUCAUCUGGUUGACAAAGCCAUGUAUUGGGCUGGUGCCCUAAUGACUCACUCACUUACCUGAAGCCCACCUCUGAAUACUGGAGACCAAGCUUCAACGCAUGGGCCUUGGAGGCCCUUUUCACAUCCAAACCAUGACUGAACAAUUACCGCUUCUGAGUUACUAUGUGCUAGGCAGUCAUGUCACUUAAAAAAAAAUCCUGUUUAAGCACUGAUUUUUUUUUUCUUCCAUACAAUUGCACUUCUUUCCUUCCAUGAAACCUAGAGAAAUAUAAAGUCAUAAUGGGAGAAUUGCCAGCCACACUCACACUGUGAGGCUUUAGUGCAGUAUAUACCAGGAAAUGUAUCUACUUGAUCUUUCAAUAUGAAAUUUUUAAAGGUUAAAUUGUAUCAGCACAUCUCUGCCUGUGGGUCUGUGCACAUGAAUGCAGUUGUCUGCUGUGGAGGCAUACGCUGGGUCCAUUGGAGCUACAGUUACAGGCAUGACUGCCUAUGUGGGUGCUGAGGACUAAACUGGGGUUCUCUGCAAGAGCAGUACCAUACUUCGCAGUCUCAAAACUGGGACAGAUGUUGUAAUUUGUAAUCUAAUAUAGGCAUUUAUUAAAAGUUUAUUACACUUUAUGUGUGUGUAGGUCAUAGGACAACUAUCAUGAGUUGGUUCUUUCCAUCAUGUGGAAGUGGGGAUUGUUAGGCUUGGCAGCAAACUCCUUGUAUCUGCUGAGCCAUUUUGCUGGCCCAAGUUUUUAUUUUUAAUAGACCUUUUUAUUAGCUUAUGCUUGCUUCAAACUUGAACCUCCUGCCUCAGCCUCCUGCUUACUGGGAUUGCAGAUGUAUGUCACUGAAUCUGUUAUUUUCUUCCAUCCUCACUAUAUAGCCUACAUCACUUGUGAUCCUCCUACCUUGGUACCCUGAUAGUUAUAGGCACAGGACACCAUGCAUGCUUCAGCUCUCCUGAUGCUGUUUUGUCAGAAUGGAAUCUUUUCCAGAAGACUGUAUUUACGUAUAAAAAUAUAUCCAAACCAGAUGGCUUUUAAGACUGACCUUGACAACAGAGCAUACCAUAUGAGAAGCAAUCAAUAAAUGCUAAUAUCUAAAA